rnacentral:misc_RNA from 1 species
GCAUUAGGAGUCCAUCCAGGUCGAGUUGGAGCGAAGAAAGGUUGCAUCAGAAUUGCUGUCUGGGGACUUUACACCGGCCGUGUAGUGAUACACGCCCCAUGUAAAUUUCUGACACUUCAUUCAGUCCAGAGAGUUACAUGAGGCAAGUUAUACGGCCUGUGUACUGCUUCUGGCCUUGUAUUUUUCACGUUUUGACCUCCACAUCUCUUUCAAACUCAUCUUUGAUUUUAGAACCACAUAAAACACCUGAUAAAAUAUAAAAAUCAAUGAAUUGAGUCGGAUUAACAUGCUUUCUAAAAUAAUAAUGAAAAAAUAUAAAAAUAAACAUAAAAGAAUACUAAAUGCUAACAAAAUGCAA